rnacentral:rRNA from 1 species
UCGGGAAUAUUGGACAAUGGGCGAAAGCCUGAUCCAGCAACGCCGCGUGCGGGACGAAGGCCCUCGGGUCGUAAACCGCUGUCAGGAGGGAGGAACGGUGCGUGGUUAAGAGCUGCGUACUUUGACAGUACCUCCAGAGGAAGCCCCGGCUAACUCCGUGCCAGCAGCCGCGGUAAUACGGAGGGGGCGAGCGUUAUUCGGAAUUACUGGGCGUAAAGGGCGCGUAGGCGGCCCGAUAAGUCCAAGGUGAAAAGCCCUCGGCUCAACCGAGGAACUGCCUUGGAUACUGUCGGGCUCGAGGCUGGAAGAGGGUGAUGGAAUUCCCGGUGUAGCGGUGAAAAUGCGUAGAUAUCGGGAGGAACACCGGUGGCGAAGGCGGUCACCUGGGCCAGUACUGACGCUGAGGCGCGAAAAGCGUGGGGAGCAAACAGGAUUAGAUACCCUGGUAGUCCACGCCGUAAAACGAUGAGCACUCGGUGCCGCGGGUAUCGACCCCUGCGGUGCCUGAGCUAACGCAUU